GCGGGAAUAGCCUGUGCUGGUAGAGCACGACCUGCUGGCGUCGGGGUCGCGAGUCUGAGCCCGUUUCCCGCUCCA
rnacentral:tRNA from 1 species